rnacentral:rRNA from 1 species
UACGUAGGCAGCAAGCGUUGUUCGGAAUUACUGGGCGUAAAGAGUGUGUAGGCGGUGCUCUAAGUUCGGUGUGAAAUCUCCCUGCUUAACUGGGAGGGUGCGCCGGAAACUGGAGUGCUCGAGCGUGGGAGAGGAAAGCGGAAUUCCUGGUGUAGCGGUGAAAUGCGUAGAUAUCAGGAGGAACACCGGUGGCGAAGGCGGAUCUCUGGGCCUUACCUGACGCUCAGGUGCGAAAGCUAGGGGAGCGAACAGG